UACGAAGGGGGCUAGCGUUGUUCGGAAUUACUGGGCGUAAAGCGCACGUAGGCGGACUGUUAAGUCAGGGGUGAAAUCCUGGAGCUCAACUCCAGAACUGCCUUUGAUACUGAUGGUCUCGAGUCCGGAAGAGGUGAGUGGAAUUCCGAGUGUAGAGGUGAAAUUCGUAGAUAUUCGGAGGACACCAGAAGCAGAAGGCGGAGCUCACUGCCCG
rnacentral:rRNA from 1 species